UAAAGUUGCUAAUGAAGAACUAACUAUAGUUCGUUCAAGUAUAAUGGAUCAACAGCGUGGUGGCUGUGUGAGCCAUAUGAAAAACAGUAUGACAGUGCUGCGGUGAAGGUAUCUAAGUGGCGAGGUGGCCAUUUAGAUAGUUAAAGAGGGACUGUCUGUAGAGCGAGGUGGCCGAACAGACAAUAAAAGGCGAGGUGGCCUGUAUAGUGGCGAGGUGGCCAUUUAGAUACUUAAAUAACUGUCUGUAAGGCGAGGUGGCCGAACAGACAAUAAAAGGCGAGGUGGCCUUAUAACUAUGUCUGUAAGGCGAGGUGGCCGAACAGACAAUAAAAGGCGAGGUGGCCUGUAUAGUGGCGAGGUGGCCAUUUAGAUACUUAUAAUAAAAGGCGAGGUGGCCUGUAUAGUGGCGAGGUGGCCAUUUAGAUACUUAAAUAACUGUCUGUAAGGCGAGGUGGCCGAACAGACAAUAAAAGGCGAGGUGGCCUUAUAACUAUAUAGGGGCGAGGUGGCUAUUUCAUUAAUAUUGGGUCAGUUUAGUAAACAGCGUGGAGGCAAUUUAUUAUACAAAUUUUGACAUUCGUUGAGAUUGAGAAUUUAACGUUUAUCAGACUAUAUUGGAGUAGAAGAUGAUAAUGCCCAUAUUCUAUUCGGUCAGGAGUGGCCGAACCAUGUUACCCAAAUUUGUUUCUCUCUUUACAGAUAAUGAUGUUGUUCGCCCUUCAACAUCACACGAGGACGUGUGAAACGUCAGGACGGCCGUGUCGGAGGAAGUAGUAAGAAUGGAGUUGAUUGCUGGUUACAUGAAGACUAUAUCAAUAAGCUUAGAAAAUACUUUGUUAAAUCAUAAUUAUAAUUUGUUUAAUUUCUUAGAUUUUUGUAUU
rnacentral:misc_RNA from 1 species